UCUCCUUUCUUGGCAGAUUUGUUUUUUUCCUGUACAUGUGUGUAUGUGAUGGAGGACAAUAAAAUUCCAGUGCUAUUUAUUUGGUGCCAGAAAGUCAACCAUCUUCUAGUUCUAUUCUCAUUUACUGGCACAAUC